GCCUGGCUGGCUCAAUCCGUACAGCAUGAGACUCGUGAUCUCAGGUUUGUGAGUUCGAGCCCUGUGUUGGGUA
rnacentral:tRNA from 1 species